GACGAACGCUGGCGGCGUGCUUAACACAUGCAAGUCGAGCGGUAAGGCCUCUUCGGGGGUACACGAGCGGCGAACGGGUGAGUAACACGUGAGUAAUCUGCCCUUCACUUCGGGAUAACCAUCGGAAACGGUGGCUAAUACCGGAUAUGACUCGUCCCUGCAUGGGGGUGGGUGGAAAGUUUUUUCGGUGGAGGAUGUGCUCGCGGCCUAUCAGCUUGUUGGUGAGGUAACGGCUCACCAAGGCUUCGACGGGUAGCCGGCCUGAGAGGGUGACCGGCCACACUGGGACUGAGACACGGCCCAGAACCCUACGGGAGGCAGCAGUGGGGAAUAUUGGACAAUGGGCGGAAGCCUGAUCCAGCAACGCCGCGUGAGGGAUGACGGCCUUCGGGUUGUAAACCUCUUUCAGCUCCGACGAAGCGCCCGUGAGGGUGGUGACGGUAGGUGCAGAAGAAGGACCGGCCAACUACGUGCCAGCCGCCGCAGUAACAC
rnacentral:rRNA from 1 species